rnacentral:tRNA from 1 species
GGAGAUUAUAUUUUCAUUUACAAUGAAAAUUACCUUAGGGCUCCUUUAUAAUUAUAAUUAUAGCAAAUAU